UCCCGGGUGGCUCAGACAGUAAAGAAUCUGCCUGCAAUGCGGAAGACCUGGGUUCGAUCCCUGGUUUGGGAA
rnacentral:tRNA from 1 species